UACGUAGGGGGCUAGCGUUGUCCGGAUUUAUUGGGCGUAAAGAGCGUGUAGGCGCCAGGUAGGUCCGUUGUGAAAACUCGAGGCUCAACCUCGAGACGUCGGCGGAAACCAUCUGGCUAGAGUCCGGAAGAGGAGAGUGGAAUUCCUGGGUGUAGCGGUGAAAUGCGCAGAUAUCAGGAAGAACACCCGUGGCGAAGGCGGCUCUCUGGGACGGUACUGACGCUGAGACGCGAAAGCGUGGGGAGCAAACAGG
rnacentral:rRNA from 1 species